rnacentral:rRNA from 1 species
GAUGAACGCUAGCGGCAGGCCUAACACAUGCAAGUCGAGGGGCAGCACAAAAUAAACCUGUUUAUUUGGUGGCGACCGGCGCACGGGUGCGUAACGCAUAUGCAACCUACCUUAUACUGGGGAAUAGCCCGAAGAAAUUCGGAUUAAUGCCCCAUAGUACUGAGACCUCUCCUGAGGAUUCAGUUAAAGCUUUGGCGGUAUAAGAUGGGCAUGCGUCCAAUUAGCUAGAUGGUGAGGUAACGGCUCACCAUGGCGACGAUUGGUAGGGGGCCUGAGAAGGUGGUCCCCCACACUGGUACUGAGACACGGACCAGACUCCUACGGGAGGCAGCAGUGAGGAAUAUUGGUCAAUGGGCGCAAGCCUGAACCAGCCAUGCCGCGUGAAGGAUGAAGGUUCUAUGGAUUGUAAACUUCUUUUAUUUGGGAAUAAACCUCUUUACGUGUAGAGAGCUGAAGGUACCAAAUGAAUAAGCACCGGCUAACUCCGUGCCAGCAGCCGCAGUAAGAC